rnacentral:rRNA from 1 species
UGAGGAAUAUUGGUCAAUGGGCGGGAGCCUGAACCAGCCAAGCCGCGUGAGGGAGGAAGGCCCUAUGGGUCGUAAACCUCUUUUGUCAGGGAACAAAAGCGAGUAUGUAUACUAGUCUGAGUGUACCUGAAGAAAAAGCAUCGGCUAACUCCGUGCCAGCAGCCGCGGUAAUACGGAGGAUGCGAGCGUUAUCCGGAUUUAUUGGGUUUAAAGGGUGCGUAGGCGGCGGUGCAAGUCAGCGGUAAAAGCCCGGGGCUCAACCCCGGCGAGCCGUUGAAACUGCAGUGCUAGAGAAGGCGAGAGGUACGCGGAAUGCGCAGUGUAGCGGUGAAAUGCUUAGAUAUGCGCGAACUCCGAUUGUGAAGGCAGCGUACUGGCGCCUGACUGACGCUGAGGCACGAAAGCGUGGGGAUCGGAACAGGAUUAGAUACC